AGGUUGUUCCUCUGCUGGAAGAGCACGUGCCUCGCCUGGCCUCUUUGUCUGGACACCUUCUUUUCUUUAAGAAUCCACCCAGGAAUGGCUCCUGACGCUUCCAGGUCUGCAGAAAGCCAUCCCCGGCCCCUUCCUCACCCAGCCUGAGCGCUGUUCUCCCCUGCAGUGCCCACACAGUUCCCGGUGUGAACGGCUGACAUCCCGUUCACAUCGGCCUCCUGUACUGCACCCUGAGCUUGUGAGCUCUGUGACAGCAAAGGGCUUAUGUGAAGGGCGUUUGGCACCUUCCACAUGGAGGUGAACCCAUUUACCUUGUUAAUUCCAUUUGCUCCCACCUCUUAGGUACCUGCAUAUUUCUAUCCUUCAGAUUUCCUAGCACUGGGCCUUAUAACAGCAUUUCUUAAAAUGGGGUCCCCAGUCCAACAGCAUCAGCAUCACAUGGGAAUUUGCUAGAAAUGCAACUUUUGGAGCCCUCCUUGGACCUCUGGGAUCUAAAACUCUGCAGUGAGAACACGAGACUUUUGAAAAAACACAGACGAUGAAACUAUGUGCUCUUUCAGCCAAUACAAUGUGGGAAGUUUUUCUGUUUGUUAAAAUAAUUCAGGUCCUUACAGGGUAGCUUGGUGUAAAUGUGGCCACAGACUCUCAGUUUGGGUCCUCUCAUCUGGUCCUCCACCGUCUAAGGCCAGCACACCAUUCCUGAAGCCCAGCUUCACACCCUGGAUUUUACCCCUCAUCCCUUGAGGACCCGAAGACAAACAGCCUUGUCAACGCACUAGUGCUUUGUCUCACCUCAACUGCAAAGUGGCCAUGGGGUCUUCACCAGCAGCUGGGGAGGAUGCUCCAGAAACUGGCCCUGAUAGCUUUGCCCUGUAACUUGACUGGAUUGCAACCACUAUGGAGUUGGGUCAGACACAACCACUGGGCAGCUGACACGAGAUCUGCACAUUUGUUACUAGAAGAGCCAGAAGGCCACCCACUGUUCCUCCUAGUGAACCACUGGCAGAGCAGGUAUGGCUUAGAGCCCAGUUUCAUGCUUGACUACUGAUAUGGUUUGGCUGUGUUCCACCCA
rnacentral:lncRNA from 1 species